GUGGCUUAGACCUGCAACCCUAGAUACAUGGUGCCUUACAUUGUGAGAACUGUGGUUUAAGGCCAGCCCAGGCAUAUAUGUGAAACACCUUCUCAACAAGACCAUAAGACUCCAUCUCAAUGGGAAGAAGCUAGGCAGGUUGGCACAUGUCUGUCAUGUCAUAUAUGACCUGAAGAGGAACAUAGGGAGAUGAUAGUAUAGACAAUGGCCAGGCAAAAGUAACUAAUAACUUAAAAAUAACUAGUGCAAAAAAGGGCUGGAAGAAUGUUCGUUAAAAAAAACAACAAAACAACAAAAACCUGCCUUGUAAGCAGGAGGGUGUGAGUAUUAUGUAGCCCAGGACCACAAAAAAAGGAAAACAUAUGAGAUUACUAUUCAUAUUUCAGCUGAUAUCCCAUCAUAAUUUUAUGAAAUUGCAACUGGAUCUGGUGGCAACUAGUAAUUUCUACCUCUAUUGUCUUGAUUCUAUUAUAAAAGCAUUAAUCAUUUUGAUCUGGAAAUACACUGGAGUGGACAAUAAAAAUGAAGGCAGGCAACAUACUAAGCAAGUAUCUUCAGCACACAGUAUCAACAUAUAAAAGCAAGUAGUUUUUCUACAUAUCAAAAAACCUCAACAAAACAGGCUAAGAAAGGAAUCAGGAAAACAAUUCCAGUCGCAAUAGCCUCAAAUAACAACAAUAAAAUCUAGGAAGGAGCAUAAUCAAGGAGAUGAAAGAGCUGUACACUGAACACUAAACAACACUGAAGAAGGAAAUUGAAGAAGACACGAGAAGAUGUCAUGGAUCAACAUAAUUAAUAUUGUGAAAAUGGCUAUAUUACUGAAAGCAAUUUAUAUUUCAUGAAAUCUCUAUCAAAAUCCCAACAUCACACUUCACAGACAGAAAAAUCAAUCCAAAAAUUCCUAUGGAAGUAUAUGACUACCAAGGCAGUUCUAAGUAAAAAAAUAAUACUGGAGAUAUUACAAUAUCAGACUUCAAAUUGUACUACUGAGCCAUAGGAUACAAAAACAGCAUACAUAGUACUGGCAUAUAAGUUAACAUGAAGACCAAUGGAACAGAAAAGAAGUCUCAGAAACAAGUCCUUGCAGCUAUAACAAGUUGAAGUUUAACCAAAAAAAAACCCCAAAACUACAUUGCAGAAAAGACAGACUCUUCAACAAAUGGUGCUGGGGAAACUCGUUAUCUACAAGCAGGAGAAUAACAUUAGAUCAUUUCUCCCACCCUGUACUAAUAUUAUUUCAAAGUACAUAACGAAUCUUAAUGUAAAACUUGAAAUGUUGAAAGAAGUACAAAAAAGAAUAGGGAAACAAUGAAAACAUAUUGGCAUAAGGCAGUAACUUCGUGAGUAGAACUCAAAAGAACUCAGCAAAUAAGAGUAAAUAUAGACAAAGGGAACUGAACAAAAAAAAAGGCUGUGUACAACAAAGGAAAUAGUUAUGAGAUGGAAGAUAACAUACAAAAUGAGAGAAAAUUUUCUGCUAGCUAUACAUCAAAGAAUGAAAAACCAGUAUAUACAGGGAACUCAAAAACUAAAUUUAUUGACCCAAUACUGCUUUGAUAAUUUACAAGGGCAAACUUCUUGAAAGAAGUACAAAUUGCCAAUUGAUACAUGAACAUAUGGUCAACAACCUGGCCAUAAAGGAAAUGCAAAUACAAAUAUGGAGAUUUCAUUUAAUCACAGUAGCUACCAUCAGGAACAUAAUAAUAAGUGCUGGUGAUCACAAAUAUACCUAGCAUAUGGUUAUAUAAGAUUGUAUAAAUACAUGUAUAUCUGUGUAUGUGUGUACAAUCCAUUUAUUAUUGUGGGACUGUUGGAGGGACUUAGAAGGUGGCGGGGGUG